rnacentral:lncRNA from 1 species
UUCAAUCCCAGGUCGUUUUCCCUUUCAGCUGCAAUGCCGGGAUUUUAAAUAGCAGAGAUGAAAGGCCCCUGCCCCCGCCUCCCUCCUCCCCUGAGUUCAUGUAUUAUGAAUGAAACGGCAGCCUCGCUGCUUCCUGAGGUGCUCCACUUCAGGCUGGGGUGCAAUGGCUCGAUCUCGGCUCAGUGCAACCUCUGCUUCCCGGGUUCAAGUGAUUCUCCUGCGUCAGCCUCCCAAGCAGCUGUGAAUACAGGUUGGAGUGCAGUGGUGCUGUGUCUGGAGUUUGUUCCUGCCGUUGGGUUUGUGGUCUUGCUGACUUCAAGAAUGAAGCCACGGACCUUCACGGGAAAUAUUACGUUGUAUGGAUGUACCACUGUUUGUUUAUCCAUUCUUCAGGUGAAGGACAUGUGGGUUGUGCCCAGCGCGGGCUGAACCAUCGCCUUGGCUUAGUGCAUGUCACCAAAAAUUCUCCAGGAAUUUCAUAGUUUGGACCUUGGUGGCAUGGCUGGCCCUGGAUUAUCCAUGCAGGGAGGCCUGAUCCUGUGACAGCUGGCUGCAGCAGGGGGCUGCCCAUCUUCUGUGCUUUGUGGUACAUAUCUGUGUCACCAAAGUAGCGGCCUCGGUACAGCAAGCCUUUCAUCUGCUGCUUCUCCGUCCAGCAGUUGUUCCAGAGGUUGGCGAUAUAAUCAUCUUUCACAUUCGGUUUGACUGUUUGGAGGCUGGAGCCUGUGUACUCCUCGGAGAAAAUGCCUGCCACAUAGUAGAUGACACUCAGGUGGUCAGUGACUCGCCUGUGAUGUGGCCCACAAACAGUCUUGGGCUCAGACUGUAGGGUGGACUGGAGACCAUGAGCUGGCUGAGAGCUGACAUGAGGAUGAGGAUGGGUAUCAGCUGCACGAACACCCGCAAGCUGCCGUCACUCCGCUUCUCCCUGCAGCCCUGCCUUUGCUGGUACACACACAGGCACAUUGGAAACGCAGUAGAAAAUGGCUGCCAAUUUAAAACCAGAAGUUAAGAAGAGCAAACUCGAAUGUACAGCAAGAGAGCUUCAGGCUGGACUGGCUUCCAGCAGAAGUGGGACUGGAAACCUCGGAUUCUAUUGUCUCUUCUCUGUGAAGUGGGAAAACAUGUCAGUAUCUGAACUUGAGCUUGGUAAUUACUGCUCAUUUCUCAACCUUUUCCAAGCCACGUAACUCCCCUAAGGCUUAGUUUUCUUAUCUGUGAAUUGCGAGAUGGUAUGUUCUUCAUCACGAGGUUGCUAUAAAGACUGAAUGAGAUAAUGUGUGUGGAAGCACCAAGCAUGGUCCUUGGCAUGCAGUAGAUGCUCAAUAAAUAUGAACUGGAGUACACAUGCACUGCAAAUGAACAUUCCCCUUGGCUGGCGGCUUCAUUUUGUCUGCUCCUUAAUGUACACGUGGCUGGCCAAGAAGGGAAGAUGGAGCCGCCAUUUUCUAGCUGCCAUGUCUAGUCCCAGGUAGUUCUUUCCUGCCGGCAUUCACCGUGAAAGCUCCCAGCGUGCUUGUCUAUGUCUGCAGCUCAACUUCACAGGCUGCUCUUUGUUAGAAAAUGAUUUGGGGCAGCUUUUCAUUAAAAGAAAAACGUUACCAAGGACUUCUGGACUAUCUGCCUAAGUCUAUGCCUUGAUAGGUCUUCAGUUACUCAUGGUGAAACAUGUAAGCCUUGAAAAACUUUUUGGAUGGAGUUGUGCUGGGAAGCAGUUUUCCCACCAGGGACAACAUCUUCUAGUCCUUUUACAUCUAAGUAGUACCAUGAGACUGGAUCAUGCCAAAGAAAUGUUUUGGAAGUGAGAUGUUUCACUUUGGAACCAAGGAACUGAAAAAACAGGUAGAGGGAGCCCAAGCCAAGAAGAGAGGUCUGGUAUCAAAGAUUUGCUGAAUUCACAAUUGAAGAGGCUUAUGUCAGUCCCUUAGAAAGAAUUUGAGGACUCCUCGGAAAGUUGCUGAGUUGAGUAAAUAUUUCCUUCCAUAAAGGUAAAUAAGCAUCUCAAGAGCAAGUUUCUACAUUUUGUAUUUCCCUGUUUUAUUUCUGUAAAAUUGUGCAACCAAGAAUUAUGACCUACUGAUAUUAGAAUAAAAUUUGCAGAAGUUUGACUACAUGAGAGAGUGGUGUUUCUAAGGAGAGCAACUUAUUUCUCUUGAGGAAAUGUCUUCAUGGCAAGAAAUAAUGAUAACAGCAGUAACAACAAUAGUAAGAAGAAGAAUGAAUACAUUUGAUGAAGUUUGACCCAGGUUGGUGAGAUGAUCUGUGGGAGAAAUCUUGGCUGCUGGCUUCUUUAAAGUGUUUCACAGAUGAAGGGAAUAUCAAGGACAGACUUAAAAGAGGGAAGAAGACUAUUGUUUGAAGCCAGGAGUAGUUUGAUCUUCGGUAUUCUAAGAAAGGGAGGUGAAGCCUUGAUGACUGUGGUUUGAAUUCACUGGGAAAAGUGGAAUCGUCAAGAGACCCGGGCUAACUAAAUCCCUCUGGGAGCCUCAGCAGCUGAGGCCAUCACUCAAAAUUAAGGGUGGUAGAUUCUCCUUUGGACCUGUAGGCCCAAUUCAAGAACUAAUGGCUGCCCUGAUUAUUCUGUAGUCUGUGUUGUCUGAUGGAUCCAUAUCUUCCUCUUUGGAAAGCUGGGAACUAGAAAGAAGUGUUCUAUUUGCUAUUACCCAAGGGAUAAUACUACCAGAAUAGCCAGUGGAAUUUGCCUAUUACUUUUCUUAAAAACAAU